rnacentral:rRNA from 1 species
GNAUUGGCANUNNGUCGCAUNNUCCCGGCCGCCAUGGCGCCCGGGGGNCUCGAGANUUUNGAUCGUGUCUCCGGAUGNNNGAAGGNGNGCGUGCCNNCNACAUUCACACNGAGCGGAANCACGUCCGGUGUGGAGCGGNGGACGGGUGAGUAANGNGUGUGGANCAUACCCCNGANUGANNGAUAANCACCAGAAAUGGUGUNUAAUAUNCGCAUAACCUCCCUGGAGAAAAGCUUUGGUGGUUGAGGAAUGGCCUGGGUAAGAUUAGGUAGUUGGUAGGGUAAAGGCCUAACAAGGCAAUGAUCUUUUAGUGGUUGAGAGGAUGAUCAGCCACACUGGAAAUGAGGACANGNNCAGAAUUCUACGGAAAGCAGCAGUAGGGAAUNNUCCACAAUGGGGGAAAGCCUGAAUGAGCAACAUGCGCGUGCAGGAUGAAAGCCUUUAGGUUGUAAAAUGUUUUUAUAGGNUGAGAUUAGACGGUAACCUAAGAAUAAAGCCCGGCUAACUCCGUGCCAGCAGCCGCGGUCAUUAGGAGGAUCCAAGCGUUAUUUGGAAUGAAUGGGGGUAAAGAGGUGCGUAGGCGGUUCGUUAAGUGAGUGGUGAAAUCCCGGGGCUCAACCCUGAAACUGUCACUCGAACUGGCGAUCUAGAGUAUGAGAGGGGAGAGUAGAAUUCCUAGUGUAGGAGUGAAAUUCGUAGAUAUUAGGAGGAACACCAGUGGCGUAGGCGGAGUUCUGGCUUGUUACUGACGCUAAGGCGCGAAAGCGUGGGGAGCGAACGGGAUUAGAUACCCUGGUAGUC